AGCGUAGACGGUGUGGCAGGUCUGAUGUGAAAGGCAUGGGCUCAACCUGUGGACUGCAUUGGAAACUGUCAUACUUGAGUGCCGGAGGGGUAAGCGGAAUUCCUAGUGUAGCGGUGAAAUGCGUAGAUAUUAGGAGGAACACCAGUGGCGAAGGCGGCUUACUGGACGGUAACUGACGUUGAGGCUGAAAGCGUGGGGAGCAAACA
rnacentral:rRNA from 1 species